rnacentral:misc_RNA from 1 species
CCAAUUUUAGCGAACCUAAUCCUUUGGGUUAUGGUCUCGCGAAAAACUGUAUUUAAAACCCCAGUCUUUAUAAAAUGAGUCUAUUAAUAUAAUAAUAAAUAAAGA